CCCCCGAACAGAACACAUGACACUGUUGAACUCUGUGGUACAUAUGAUGACUGAAUCUGGUAUAUGAGUCUGGUAACUGUAUAUGUAGUGGACAGAAUUCAGUCAUCAUAUGUACCACAGAGUUCAAUAACUUGACUUUUUUUUAGGCUGGACAAAACAAGGGAAUGAGGAUCUAGGGUUGUUGGCAUUUCCUUCUCUACUCUAGUCUCACUCUCCUUUUUCCCCUCUCCUCUCUUCAUCAUUCUCUCCUCUAUUCCCCAUCUAUCCUCCUCUUCUCUUCUCUUCCUCUUCUCUUCCUCUUUAUCUCCUCUCUCUUCCUCCUCUUCUAUCCUUAACUGAUCUUCACAACUUUCCUCUCUUUCCCUCUGUAUUCUCUUCAUUCUUGCCUUUCUCAUCUCGUUAGGUUCUCAUCAUUCUGUAAAAUUAUAGACCAGUUGCCAACAAAAGAUAGAGUCGAUAUAAAAAGUAUACACACCCCUGUUAAAAUGCCAUGUUUUGUGAUGUAAAAGAAUGAGACAAAGAUAAAUCAUGUCGGAUCUUUUCCCACUUUUAAUGUGACCAAUAAUGUGAAAAAUUCAAUUGAAAAACUAAUUGAAAUCUUCGAGGGGGAACAUUUUUAAAUAAAACCCUUACAAUAACCUGGUUGCAUAAGAGUGAUGCCAACACCCCGUUCCCAAAACUGGUAUCACACCUGAUGCCAACACCCCGUUCCCAAGACUGGGGUCACACCUGAUAUUCCAUUAUGAUUAAUCAUUAUCAUUACUAGAUCUGAGAGGUUUGGAGGAGUUAAUUGGGGUGGGGUAGGUGACUGGGAAGAUGUUUUAUAGGGGAUGUGUUGAGGAGGUGGGGUUGGGUAGGAGACUGGGAAGGUGUUGUAUGGGGAUGUGUUGAGGAGGUGGGGUUGGGUGAGGUGACUGGGAAGGUGUUGUAUAGGGGAUGUGUUGAGGAGGUGGGGUUGGGUAGGUGACUGGGAAGGUGUUGUAUUGGGGGUGUGUUGAGGAGGUGGGGUUGGGUGAGGUGAUUGGGAAGGUGUUGUAUUGGGGGUGUGUUGAGGAGGUGGGGUUGGGUAGGUGACUGGGAAGGUGGGAUGUGUU
ensembl:lncRNA